UGUGUGUGUGUGCGACGUGAAGAGCAGGAGAAAGGGGGAGAAUAAAACCCUAACAACACAAAAUCAGUCAAAUAGGAAAGGAAUUUGAGGGCUAAAUGAGUGCAUGAACUAAGCACUAUGAUCCCCUAAGUGUUCCUAACAUCAAGAGUCAUGUCAACAUGGAUACAAACAUGGAAGUUCCACGGGUCGAAGGUAAACACGGAAGCUAUGCUUAAAUUCGGACAAUUGAGGUAAGUAAACUCCCAGACUCCAUCUUUAAUAGUAAUGGAAUUAAUUGUAUGAUAAUCGUUAAAGGUUAUGUUGAAAUUUGUUAUUGAGGAUGAUUACGAAUGAGUAGUAUUAAGUAAGUGAUUUCCGUAAUCACUUCUUAGUUGGUGUGAGUAAUAUAAUGUUUUAAUUAAUUAAACAUGAUGUUUGAGGUCAAAUAUGUGUUGAAGUCUUUCAUCAUAAAUGAUGGGAUUAAAGUUGACUAAAACACCCUCGAUGGGUAUAUUGGGCAAACGAUCAUAAAAGUAGUUUAGAAACAAGCUAUUCGAUUAGUGUAAUGUAUUGGUCAAGUAUGAAAGUGGGGAGUAUGGUUUUGUAAGUCAUAGACCAUUUAAUGCGCAUACACCUUAACGGGUCAAAAUAAGCUUUUGAGCGAAAAUGGGUGGAAAAGGUGUAAGGUAUCCGGGAAUGAAUCUUUUAUGAUAGAUGACCUAGAAAUUAUUAAGUUCAUAUGAAGUUAAGGUCAAACCAACAAGUUAUGUUGCUAAAUACAUGAACGGGUCGAAUAAAUCAUAAAUGAAUAAUAAGCCGAUAGUGCGUAAGCUAGGAAUUUCCUUAAUCCGGAUAUGGGAUUUCAAGUCCACAUGAUAGAAUGUUAAUUUACAAUCACGUAGGAAGAAACGUGACGCAAAACGGAUAAAAAAUGAGAGAGUUAUGUCCGUUAAGGUAAGAACUAAUGGCUUGGAAAAGUGCAGAGCUGACACGGCCGGGUGAAGGUUUUGUGAAAAAUAUUAUUUAUGUGAUUUGUGCAUCGUAGGCUUCGGUAUAUUAUCCUGGACUACGGUGGGCCUCCCAAACAUGAUUUUUAUCGUUCCUUUGAUGUAUAUGGGUUAUAAAUCUAAGUCUAAGUCCCAUGUGAUUAAUGUAUGAGUAUGUAAGAGGUAUACAAGUUAUUGAACGUGUACAUAGGAACGUAUGUACGUAUGCAGAUGUGUAUUUAUGUAUAUAUGAAGGUACGUAUGAGUGUAUGCAUGUAUGUAGAGACAUAGGAAUGUAUGUAGGUAUGUAGUUGUGUAUUUAUGUAUAUAUGAAGAUACGUAGGAGUAUAUGCAUGUAUGUAGAGAUGUAGAAAUGUAGGUACGUAUGUAAAUGUGUAUGCAUGUAUGUAUGCAUGAAGGUGCGUAUGAGUGUAUGCAUGUGUGUAGAGGUAUAGGAAGGCAUGUACCAAUGUAGAUGUGGAUGUAUGCAUGAAAAAAAAAAUGUAAGUAUGCAUGAUUUAGAUGCGUUGAGUAAUACGUUAUUAAUGGUGUACCUUGAGGAUGAAAAGUGAUGCAGGUACAUUAUUGAAUCCUCACCAGGAUACGGAUACGCAGAUGAAAUGUUUAAAGCUAGAAAGAUAAUGAAAAGGGGGGAGUCAUGUCAACAUGGAUACAAACAUGGAAGUUCCACGGGUCGAAGGUAAACACGGAAGCUAUGCUUAAAUUCGGACACUUGAGGUAAGUAAACUCCCGGACUCCAUCUUUAAUAGUAAUGGAAUUAAUUGUAUAAUAAUCGUUAAAGGUUAUGUUGAAAUUUGUUAUUGAAGAUAAUAUCGAAUGAGUAGUAUUAAGUAAGUGAUUUCCGUAGUCACUUCUUAGUUGGUGUGAGUAAUAUAAUGUUUUAAUUAAUUAAACAUGAUGUUUGAGGUCAAAUAUGUGUUGAAGUCUUUCGUCGUAAAUGAUGGGAUUAAAGUUGACUAAAACGCCCUUGAUGGGUAUAUUGGGCAAACGAUCUUAAAAGUAGUUUAGAAAGAAGCUAUUCGAUUAGUGUAAUGUAUUGGUCAAGUAUGAAAGUGGGGAGUAUGGUUUUGUAAGUCAUAGACCAUUUAAUGCGCAUACACAUUAACGGGUCAAAAAAAGCUUUUGAGCGAAAAUGGGUGGAAAAAGGUGUAAGGUAUCCGGGAAUGAAUCUUUUAUGAUAGAUGACCUAGAAAUUAUUAAGUUCAUAUGAAGUUAAGGUCAAACCAACAAGUUAUUUUGCUAAAUACAUGAACGGGUCGAAUAAAUCAUAAAUGAAUAAUAAGCCGAUAGUGCGUAAGCUAGGAAUUUCCUUAAUCCGGAUAUGGGAUUUCAAGUCCACAUGAUAGAAUGUUAAUUUACAAUCACGUAGGAAGAAACGUGACGCAAAACGGAUAAAAAAUGAGAGGGUUAUGUCCGUUUUGGUAAGAACUAAUGGCUGGGAAAAGUGCAGCGCUGACACGGCCGGGUGGUUAGCUGACACGGCCGGGUGAAGGUUCUGUGAAAAAUAUUAUUUAUGUGAUUUAUGCAUCGUAGGCUUCUGUAUAUUAUCCGUGGACUACAGUGGGCCUCCCAAACAUGAUUUUUAUCGUUCCUUUGUUGUAUAUGGGUUAUAAAUCUAAGUCUAAGUCCCAUGUGAUUAAUGUAUGAGUAUGUAAGACGUAUACAAGUUAUUGAACGUGUACAUAGGAACGUAUGUAUUUAUGUAUGUAGAUGUGUAUUUAUAUAUAUAUAUAUGAAGGUACGUAUGAGUGUAUGCAUGUAUGUAGAGACAUAGGAAAGUAUGUACGUAUGUAGUUGUGUAUUUAUGUAUAUAUUCAGAUACGUAGGAGUAUAUGCAUGUAUGUAGAGAUGUAGAAGUGUAGGUACGUAUGUAAAUGUGUAUGCAUGUAUGUAUGCAUGAAGGUGCGUAUGAGUGUAUGCAUAUGUGUAGAGGUAUAGGAAGGCAUGUACGUAUGUAGAUGUGGAUGUAUGCAUGAAAAAAAAAUGUAAGUAUGCAUGAUUUAGAUGCGUUGAGUAAUACGUUAUUAAUGGUGUACCUUGAGGAUGAAAAGUGAUGCAGGUACAUUAUUGAAGCCUCACCAGGAUACGGAUACGCAGUUGAAAUGCUUAUGCUAGAAAGAUAAUGAAAAGGGGAAGUGUUAUGCAAAUCACGAACGAUUAUCACGAGGAAUAGAGAUCGAAGACCGAGUCACAAGAUAGAUUGUACGGGAUUAAUUGAGUAUAUACUUUAGCAAACGGAUGUUAUGCUUUUGUUUUGUAAAACAUAUAUUUUUAAAAUGAACUUUCAAGUAAGUUAAGACGUCUGUAAUAAAAGAAAUUUUACGGCAAGAAUUUCCGCUGCGACUUUUGUCAAAUAUGUAUUAGGGUCUUACAAGUUGGUAUCAGAGCCAUGGUUUUAGUGAAAUCAAGUAUGAGGAGAUGAAUACUUGAACUCAAACCUGUGUGCUCUUGUAACUAGAAACCCGUACAAUCUGAGACUCGAUCAAGAUCUAAAGGUAGAAACAAAGUUAAGUAUGUAUUAGAUUAUGUAUUUGAAGGGAAUUAAUAGUAUGUUUUGUGAAGGGUAAGCGCAAUUGUUUGGAAGGGAUGAUCCGUGAAUGCGGUCUAGGACCGGCACCAAGGCAUGUAAUAAGACCAUUGCCCAGGUACGUAAAUUUAACAUGUGAGUGCAUGUAAUGGUAAAGCCUAUUGAGUGAAUGAAAAUUUUAAAUGAAGGAUAGUAAUGGAAUAGUAAUGAGGAUUUUGGAAUGAUAAACGUGCCGAAACUUAAUUCUUCGGACAUAAGGCGAUGAUUACAUGAAGGCACGAAACUAGUAUGUAGAUUGCGUACCUGGCCAGUACACAAGAAAUAUAUGACGUUCGUGAGACCGUGAUAAUUGUUGCAGGUAUGUCCGAAAGGAUUGAGUAUUAGGUGGACGUGUGGGUGAGAAUUAUAAGACUCUUAAGAAAAUUUAAGCAACUUAUAUAAAUGGAAUGAAUGAAUGAUGUGUUUGAAUCCGCGAGACGGAUUCAAACAUAGAAGUAAUGGUAUGUACGAAUGAUAUGUUUGAACCCGCGAGACGGAUUCAAACAUAGAAGUAAUGGUAUGUACGAAUGAUAUGUUAGAACCCGCGAGACGGAUUCGAACAUAGAAGUAAUGGUAUGUACGAAUGAUAUGUUUGAACCCGCCAGACGGAUUCAAACAUAGAAGUAAUGGUAUAUACGAAUGAUAUGUUUGAAUCCGCGAGAUGGAUUCGAAGCAUAGAAGGAAUGAGAAAGUAUGAAUGAUAUGUUUGAAUCCGCGAGACGGAUUCAAAACAUGGA
rnacentral:lncRNA from 1 species